AAAAUAUAUAAGGUAUGAAUAUAAAGUAAUGAGAUGAUUUUCCUUACGUAGUUUAUGGAAAUAGUCUCGUUAUUUCCCAGUUAUACCUUAUCUAUUU
rnacentral:pre_miRNA from 12 species